AUGAACGCUGGCGGCGUGCCUAAUACAUGCAAGUCGCGCGAACGGACGAGAAGCUUGCUUCUCUGAUGUUAGCGGCGGACGGGUGAGUAACACGUGGAUAACCUACCUAUAAGACUGGGAUAACUUCGGGAAACCGGAGCUAAUACCGGAUAAUAUUUUGAACCGCAUGGUUCAAAAGUGAAAGACGGUCUUGCUGUCACUUAUAGAUGGAUCCGCGCUGCAUUAGCUAGUUGGUAAGGUAACGGCUUACCAAGGCAACGAUGCAUAGCCGACCUGAGAGGGUGGUCGGCCACACUGGAACUGAGACACGGUCCAGACUCCUACGGGAGGCAGCAGUAGGGAAUCUUCCGCAAUGGGCGAAAGCCUGACGGAGCAACGCCGCGUGAGUGAUGAAGGUCUUCGGAUCGUAAAACUCUGUUAUUAGGGAAGAACAUAUGUGUAAGUAACUGUGCACAUCUUGACGGUACCUAAUCAGAAAGCCACGGCUAACUACGUG
rnacentral:rRNA from 1 species